rnacentral:rRNA from 1 species
CUGCUCCUAGUACGAGAGGACCGGAGUGGACGAACCUCUGGUGUUCCGGUUGUCACGCCAGUGGCAUUGCCGGGUAGCUAUGUUCGGGAAAGAUAACCGCUGAAAGCAUCUAAGCGGGAAACUUGCCUCAAGAUGAGAUCUCACUGGAACCUUGAGUUCCCUGAAGGGCCGUCGAAGACUACGACGUUGAUAGGUUGGGUGUGUAAGCGCUGUGAGGCGUUGAGCUAACCAAUACUAAUUGCCCGUGAGGCUUGACCAU